rnacentral:rRNA from 1 species
CCGAAUUCGUCGACACAGAGUUUGAUCCUGCUCAGGACGAACGCUGGCGGCGUGCUUAACACAUGCAAGUCGAACGGUAAGGCCCUUUCGGGGGUACACGAGUGGCGAACGGGUGAGUAACACGUGGGUGAUCUGCCCUGCACUUUGGGAUAAGCCUGGGAAACUGGGUCUAAUACCGGAUAGGACUACGCGAUGCAUGUCGUGUGGUGGAAAGCUUUUGCGGUGUGGGAUGGGCCCGCGGCCUAUCAGCUUGUUGGUGGGGUGAUGGCCUACCAAGGCGACGACGGGUAGCCGGCCUGAGAGGGUGUCCGGCCACACUGGGACUGAGAUACGGCCCAGACUCCUACGGGAGGCAGCAGUGGGGAAUAUUGCACAAUGGGCGCAAGCCUGAUGCAGCGACGCCGCGUGAGGGAUGACGGCCUUCGGGUUGUAAACCUCUUUCAACGCCGACGAAGCGUAAGUGACGGUAGGCGUAGAAGAAGCACCGGCUAACUACGUGCCAGCAGCCGCGGUAAUACGUAGGGUGCGAGCGUUGUCCGGAAUUACUGGGCGUAAAGAGCUCGUAGGUGGUUUGUCGCGUUGUUCGUGAAAACUCACAACUCAAUUGUGGGCGUGCGGGCGAUACGGGCAGACUGGAGUACUGCAGGGGAGACUGGAAUUCCUGGUGUAGCGGUGGAAUGCGCAGAUAUCAGGAGGAACACCGGUGGCGAAGGCGGGUCUCUGGGCAGUAACUGACGCUGAGGAGCGAAAGCGUGGGGAGCGAACAGGAUUAGAUACCCUGGUAGUCCACGCCGUANACGGUGGGUACUAGGUGUGGGUUUCCUUCCUUGGGAUCCGUGCCGUAACUAACGCAUUAAGUACCCCGCCUGGGGAGUACGGCCCGCAGGCUAAAACUCAAAGGAAUUGACGGGGGGCCCGCACAAGCCGGGGGAAGCAUGUGGAAUAAUUUCGAUGGCACCCGCGAAAAAACCUUAACCUGGGGGUUUGAACAUGGAACAGGGAACGCCCGGGCAGAAAAUGUGCGGGUUCCCCCUUGGGUGGCCCCUGGUGGUUGGCAGGGGUGGGGGGCC